AAAGGCGGAGGCAGGUUGGGAGGGGAGGACGGCGGCUUGCUCUGGGGCUGCCGCGUUAUCCAGGAAUGGAGUGGUAGGUCAGGUGGGCGCCUAGGACAAGAGAGGAUCUUCCUGGCCCAGGGAUCGCACCUGUGUCUCCCUCGUUGCAGGCAGAUUCUUUACCCUCUGAGCCAUGAGGGAAGCCCAAGGAGACACAGAGAAGUUAGUCUUGGUCCCUGACUUUGAGAUGCUUGUAUGAAUGUGCACAGCUGGCAGCAUGGCACAGAUGACCAGUCCGGUUACCGUAUUCCGGGGCUCUUCUUCCCAAAUUAUGUUCAACAUGCUCUGCCAGCAUCUUGGUGAGAGAUGGAAGGGAAGGAGGAGAAAGAGAUGCUGCUCCCCCAGGGAACUCCACUCAGAGAAGAGACCUGAAAUUAGGCAAACGAUGACAGAGCAUAUGUCAAUGAAUGCUUGCUUCCAGGCUCUGU
ensembl:lncRNA